rnacentral:rRNA from 1 species
UAACACGUAUCCAACCUGCCGUCUACUCUUGGACAGCCUUCUGAAAGGAAGAUUAAUACAAGAUGGCAUCAUGAGUUCACAUGUUCACAUGAUUAAAGGUAUUCCGGUAGACGAUGGGGAUGCGUUCCAUUAGAUAGUAGGCGGGGUAACGGCCCACCUAGUCUUUGAUGGAUAGGGGUUCUGAGAGGAAGGUCCCCCACAUUGGAACUGAGACACGGUCCAAACUCCUACGGGAGGCAGCAGUGAGGAAUAUUGGUCAAUGGGCGAGAGCCUGAACCAGCCAAGUAGCGUGAAGGAUGACUGCCCUAUGGGUUGUAAACUUCUUUUAUAAAGGAAUAAAGUCGGGUAUGCAUACCCGUUUGCAUGUACUUUAUGAAUAAGGAUCGGCUAACUCCGUGCCAGCAGCCGCGGUAAUACGGAGGAUCCGAGCGUUAUCCGGAUUUAUUGGGUUUAAAGGGAGCGUAGAUGGAUGUUUAAGUCAGUUGUGAAAGUUUGCGGCUCAACCGUAAAAUUGCAGUUGAUACUGGAUAUCUUGAGUGCAGUUGAGGCAGGCGGAAUUCGUGGUGUAGCGGUGAAAUGCUUAGAUAUCACGAAGAACUCCGAUUGCGAAGGCAGCCUGCUAAGCUGCAACUGACAUUGAGGCUCGAAAGUGUGGGUAUCAAACAGGAUUAGAUACCCUGGUAGUCCACACGGUAAACGAUGAAUACUCGCUGU